rnacentral:tRNA from 1 species
GUUUUAAUAGUUUAAUUAAAAUACAAGUCUUGUAAACUUGAGAUAAUAUUAAUUUUAAAACU